GGAGGGAUGGCCGAGUGGUCGAUGGCGGCGGUCUUGAAAACCGUUGGACGAAAGUCUCGCGGGUUCGAAUCCUGCUCCCUCCGCCA
rnacentral:tRNA from 4 species